rnacentral:snRNA from 1 species
AGCUUGGUGCAGUGGCAGUAUCAUAGCUAGUGAGGUUUAUCAGAGGUGCGAUUAUUACUAAUUGGAAGUUCGAGCCAACAUCUUCUCUUCAAAACCCACCCAUUCUAUAGAAAUUCUUGCCAAUGAGAAUUCC